AAAAGAAUCACCAAAAGCGCGAGGACUAGGAGCAUUUGUGCUUAUUGACAAGAUCAAGCAAGUCUUGGAAGCACGGUGCCCAUGAGCCGUUUCGUGUGCUGAUAUUCUCAACAUUGCAGCCAGAGAUGCCGUGUAUUUUGGGUGUGAUGCAUCGGUUUUUCUAGAUGGACAAAACACAGAAAAAGAAUCACCAAAAGCGCGAGGACCAGGAGCAUUUGUGCUUAUUGACCAGAUCAAGCAAGUCUUGGAAGCACAGUGCCCAGGAGCCGUUUCGUGUGCUGAUAUUCUCAACAUUGCAGCCAGAGAUGCCGUAUAUUUUGUAAGUGAAGUCCGUUUCUUAUAUUGAGACCGUGGUGGUGUUUGGUAACAGUAGUUCUUCGUUUGAAGCAAUAAACUAAUUGAAUUAAAAAUACUAUGGAGGAUAUAAAUGAACGGCCUGAUAUCAGCAGUUAAUCCAUUUUCAUGCUGGGAAAAGUAUCCGAAACUUGAACGGACACAGCAUUGGGCCAUAUCAAAUUCAUGCUGGGAAAUCAGUGCCAAUCGUGAAGGGAGGAGAAUAGACAAAGAUGGAAGAGGGAGAAUUCUAUGCAAUUGAAACUUUUGGAUCUACAGGUAAGGGAUAUAUGAGAGAAGAUCUGGAGAGCAGCCACUACAUGAAAAACUUUGAUGUGGGGCAUGUUCCGUUGCGGUUGCCAAGAGCAAAACAGCUUCUUGCCACAAUUGAUAAGAAUUUCUCUACACUAGCUUUCUGUUGACGCUAUUUAGAUCGACUUGGAGAGACCAAAUAUUUAAUGGCUCUCAAGAAUUCGGGUGAUGCUGGUGUUAUUCAGGUAUGGGUUUGUUUUUCUUACUUUUGGGAUUUGAGGUGAAGACCGAUUGUGGCGUUAACCAUUUUUAAGUACUCGCUUAUGCAGUUAUACUUUAUGGAACUCAUAUUUUCAUAUAUUAACCGUUUGAUCAAGC
rnacentral:lncRNA from 1 species